rnacentral:rRNA from 1 species
CCUACGGGGGGCAGCAGUGAGGAAUAUUGGUCAAUGGACGAGAGUCUGAACCAGCCAAGUAGCGUGAAGGAUGACUGCCCUAUGGGUUGUAAACUUCUUUUAUAAAGGAAUAAAACGAGGCACGUGUGCCUUUUUGCAUGUACUUUAUGACUAAGGAUCGGCUAACUCCGUGCCAGCAGCCGCGGUAAUACGGAGGAUCCGAGCGUUAUCCGGAUUUAUUUGGUUUAAAGGGAGCGUAGAUGGGUUGUUAAGUCAGUUGUGAAAGUUUGCGGCUCAACCGUAAAAUUGCAAUUGAUACUGGCAGUCUUGAGUACAGGUGAGGUAGGCGGAAUUCGUGGUGUAGCGGUGAAAUGCUUAGAUAUCACGAAGAACCCCGAUUGCGAAGGCAGCUUACUAAACUGUGACUGACAUUGAUGCUCGAAAGUGUGGGUAUCAAACAGGAUUAGAUACCCUAGUAGUC